UUAAGCGACUAAGCGUACACGGUGGAUGCCCUGGCAGUCAGAGGCGAUGAAGGACGUGCUAAUCUGCGAAAAGCGUCGGUAAGGUGAUAUGAACCGUUAUAGCCGGCGAUGUCCGAAUGGGGAAACCCAGUGCAAUUCGUUGCACUAUCGUUAACUGAAUACAUAGGUUAACGAGGCGAACCGGGGGAACUGAAACAUCUAAGUACCCCGAGGAAAAGAAAUCAACCGAGAUUCCCCCAGUAGCGGCGAGCGAACGGGGAGCAGCCCAGAGUCUGAAUCAGCUUGUGUGUUAGUGGAACGGUCUGGAAAGUCCGACGGUACAGGGUGAUAGUCCCGUACACCAAAAUGCACAGGCUGUGAACUCGAAGAGUAGGGCGGGACACGUGGUAUCCUGUCUGAAUAUGGGGGGACCAUCCUCCAAGGCUAAAUACUCCUGACUGACCGAUAGUGAACCAGUACCGUGAGGGAAAGGCGAAAAGAACCCCGGCGAGGGGAGUGAAAAAGAACCUGAAACCGUGUACGUACAAGCAGUGGGAGCACCUUCGGGUGUGACUGCGUACCUUUUGUAUAAUGGGUCAGCGACUUAUAUUCUGUAGCAAGGUUAACCGUAUAGGGGAGCCGCAGGGAAACCGAGUCUUAACUGGGCGUUAAGUUGCAGGGUAUAGACCCGAAACCCGGUGAUCUAGCCAUGGGCAGGUUGAAGGUUGGGUAACACUAACUGGAGGACCGAACCGACUAAUGUUGAAAAAUUAGCGGAUGACUUGUGGCUGGGGGUGAAAGGCCAAUCAAACCGGGAGAUAGCUGGUUCUCCCCGAAAGCUAUUUAGGUAGCGCCUCGUGAAUUCAUCUUCGGGGGUAGAGCACUGUUUCGGCUAGGGGGUCAUCCCGACUUACCAACCCGAUGCAAACUACGAAUACCGAAGAAUGUUAUCACGGGAGACACACGGCGGGUGCUAACGUCCGUCGUGAAGAGGGAAACAACCCAGACCGCCAGCUAAGGUCCCAAAGUCAUGGUUAAGUGGGAAACGAUGUGGGAAGGCACAGACAGCCAGGAUGUUGGCUUAGAAGCAGCCAUCAUUUAAAGAAAGCGUAAUAGCUCACUGGUCGAGUCGGCCUGCGCGGAAGAUGUAACGGGGCUAAACCAUGCACCGAAGCUGCGGCAGCGACACGAUGUGUUGUUGGGUAGGGGAGCGUUCUGUAAGCCUGCGAAGGUGACCUGUGAGGGUUGCUGGAGGUAUCAGAAGUGCGAAUGCUGACAUAAGUAACGAUAAAGCGGGUGAAAAGCCCGCUCGCCGGAAGACCAAGGGUUCCUGUCCAACGUUAAUCGGGGCAGGGUGAGUCGACCCCUAAGGCGAGGCCGAAAGGCGUAGUCGAUGGGAAACAGGUUAAUAUUCCUGUACUUGGUGUUACUGCGAAGGGGGGACGGAGAAGGCUAUGUUAGCCGGGCGACGGUUGUCCCGGUUUAAGCAUGUAGGCUGGUUAUCCAGGCAAAUCCGGAUAAUCAAGGCUGAGGUGUGAUGACGAGGCACUACGGUGCUGAAGUAACAAAUGCCCUGCUUCCAGGAAAAGCCUCUAAGCAUCAGGUAACAUCAAAUCGUACCCCAAACCGACACAGGUGGUCAGGUAGAGAAUACCAAGGCGCUUGAGAGAACUCGGGUGAAGGAACUAGGCAAAAUGGUGCCGUAACUUCGGGAGAAGGCACGCUGGUGUGUAGGUGAAGUCCCUGCGGAUGGAGCUGAGACCAGUCGAAGAUACCAGCUGGCUGCAACUGUUUAUUAAAAACACAGCACUGUGCAAACACGAAAGUGGACGUAUACGGUGUGACGCCUGCCCGGUGCCGGAAGGUUAAUUGAUGGGGUUAUCCGUAAGGAGAAGCUCUUGAUCGAAGCCCCGGUAAACGGCGGCCGUAACUAUAACGGUCCUAAGGUAGCGAAAUUCCUUGUCGGGUAAGUUCCGACCUGCACGAAUGGCGUAAUGAUGGCCAGGCUGUCUCCACCCGAGACUCAGUGAAAUUGAACUCGCUGUGAAGAUGCAGUGUACCCGCGGCAAGACGGAAAGACCCCGUGAACCUUUACUAUAGCUUGACACUGAACAUUGAGCCUUGAUGUGUAGGAUAGGUGGGAGGCUUUGAAGCGUGGACGCCAGUCUGCGUGGAGCCAACCUUGAAAUACCACCCUUUAAUGUUUGAUGUUCUAACGUUGGCCCCUUACCGGGGUUGCGGACAGUGUCUGGUGGGUAGUUUGACUGGGGCGGUCUCCUCCCAAAGCGUAACGGAGGAGCACGAAGGUUAGCUAAUCCUGGUCGGACAUCAGGAGGUUAGUGCAAUGGCAUAAGCUAGCUUGACUGCGAGCGUGACGGCGCGAGCAGGUGCGAAAGCAGGUCAUAGUGAUCCGGUGGUUCUGAAUGGAAGGGCCAUCGCUCAACGGAUAAAAGGUACUCCGGGGAUAACAGGCUGAUACCGCCCAAGAGUUCAUAUCGACGGCGGUGUUUGGCACCUCGAUGUCGGCUCAUCACAUCCUGGGGCUGAAGUAGGUCCCAAGGGUAUGGCUGUUCGCCAUUUAAAGUGGUACGCGAGCUGGGUUUAGAACGUCGUGAGACAGUUCGGUCCCUAUCUGCCGUGGGCGCUGGAGAAUUGAGGGGGGCUGCUCCUAGUACGAGAGGACCGGAGUGGACGCAUCACUGGUGUUCGGGUUGUCAUGCCAAUGGCACUGCCCGGUAGCUAAAUGCGGAAGAGAUAAGUGCUGAAAGCAUCUAAGCACGAAACUUGCCCCGAGAUGAGUUCUCCCUGAGACUUUAAGUCUCCUGAAGGAACGUUAAAGACGAUGACGUUGAUAGGCCGGGUGUGUAAGCGCAGCGAUGCGUUGAGCUAACCGGUACUAAUGAACCGUGAGGCUUAACCUU
rnacentral:rRNA from 1 species